rnacentral:rRNA from 1 species
AACGAACGCUGGCGGCAUGCCUAACACAUGCAAGUCGAACGAGACCUUCGAGUCUAGUGGCGCACGGGUGCGUAACGCGUGGGAACCUGCCCUUAGGUUCGGAAUAACUCCCCGAAAGGGGUGCUAAUACCGGAUAAUGUCUUCGGACCAAAGAUUUAUCGCCUUUGGAUGGGCCCGCGUUGGAUUAGCUAGUUGGUAGGGUAAAAGCCUACCAAGGCGACGAUCCAUAGCUGGUCUGAGAGGAUGCUCAGCCACACUGGGACUGAGACACGGCCCAGACUCCUACGGGAGGCAGCAGUGGGGAAUAUUGGACAAUGGGCGAAAGCCUGAUCCAGCAAUGCCGCGUGAGUGAUGAAGGCCUUAGGGUUGUAAAGCUCUUUUACCCGGGAUGAUAAUGACAGUACCGGGAGAAUAAGCUCCGGCUAACUCCGUG